AUCCAACUGACGAGUCUCAAAUAGGACGGAACGCGUGUUAAACUGGAU
rnacentral:hammerhead_ribozyme from 1 species